CACAUGCUCAUGUAGCCAGAAAUGUUGAACCAAUAACUAGGUGUAUCUCAUGCUAGUUUCCACAAUAAGGCAUUUAUGAAACCACCAGCCCUACCUGUUCUAAAUAAAUGAAUAAAAAUGUGGAUGCUAAUUGAAGAUUAGCAUCAUCUCCCAUCCAUGUUAAUGUGCUUUUUGGUUAUUUGCAAUUCUCUUUUGUAAAUCUGAGGUAAACAUCAUUGUCCAAAUUAGCUCUUUUCACUCAGUAAAGGCCAUAUUAGCAUUCUGAGGUUUGCGUUUGCCUACUGCUUAUUUAGUAAGGUCAGAUGAGAAGCUAGUCAAAUGACUUCCAUUUCACUUAAGAGGCGUACCGAGUGGGGAGAACUCAAGCCUCCAAAGCCCGAACUCCCUGGCAGUGGCUCCCCAGGUCCCUCCCCUCUCUCAGUACUGAGCCACAGCACUGCUGGGAGCAGCAACUACCACCACAGUGGUCUCCCGGGAAGGGCUGGCCCAGAUGGGUGACACUGAGUCAGGUGGUUGCAAGGUCCUCUGCCUGGAUCUCGGUCCCCGUCCCCUCAGCGCUGCCGCCGUUAUCAUCAAUGACAGCUCCAAUGUCACCUUCUCUCUUGCCCCACUGAAGUGGCCAUCAUCCCCCAGGCACUUUCUAUGCCACACUUUCACAGCACACGUCUCGGCAUCCAGAGGGCUCUUUCAUGUCUGCCUGGCUCCCCUGCUGGAACCGAGCUCCAUGACCAUAGCAACCCUGCCCACUCACGCAUCCCUGAAGCCCGGGUGCUGACACCACAGAUGUUCAAUAUUUGUUGAAGGAAUGGAAGUAGGAAGGAAAGUCUGAGCUGGUCAGGGCUUCUGGAGUAACUCUAACAAGGAAAGCGGAGGCUGCACUUGUGGUCUCAAAUCUUUUCCAAACUCCACUGCGUAAAAAAAAAAAAAAAAAAAAAAAAAAAAAGUCUUUGAAACCAGACUCGCAUCCAAAUCCCAACUACUUUAACCAGUGGCAGGAUCACUGGAGCAGAUGGUUUAACCUCCCAGAGCCUGUUUGCUAAACUGCAAAAUGGGGGAAAUGAUACCAUUUAGGUUAAGCGCCUGGCUCUUUCUAAAUGUUGGCUCAAACGGUGGUGACCCUUCCCAGACUUCCACCACUACUGGAAGUUUGCGUCCCAAAGCAGACACCCUCAUCGCCUUGGCUCCGAAUGCAGAGAGCUAGUUCCGAGAAGCCGAGGGGAAGCUGAAGGCGCGCCCUGGCCAACCCUCCCCACGAUCCCCCGCCGCAACCCCUGUCGGCCCCUUCCAGCCCACAGUGGGUGGCCCCAGGCCUCGCUAGGGUCACGUCUCUCGGGUCCCCGCGCAGGGAAGGGUCCAACCAGCGACUCGCAACCUUUUCGGGGUCCCGAGUCCAACACCCGUGGGAAUCCCAUGGGCACCAUGGCCCCUCGCUCCAAAAAUGCUUUCGCGUCGCGCAGACACUGCUCGGUAGUUUCGGGGAUCAGCGUUUGAGUAAGAGCCCGCGUCUGAACCCUCCGCGCCGCCCCGGCCCCAGUGGAAAGACGCGCAGGCAAAACGCACCACGUGACGGAGCGUGACCGCGCGCCGAGCGCGCGCCAAGGUCGGGCAGGAAGAGGGCCUAUUUCCCAUGAUUCCUUCAUAUUUGCAUAUACGAUACAAGGCUGUUAGAGAGAUAAUUAGAAUUAAUUUGACUGUAAACACAAAGAUAUUAGUACAAAAUACGUGACGUAGAAAGUAAUAAUUUCUUGGGUAGUUUGCAGUUUUAAAAUUAUGUUUUAAAAUGGACUAUCAUAUGCUUACCGUAACUUGAAAGUAUUUCGAUUUCUUGGCUUUAUAUAUCUUGUGGAAAGGACGAAACACCGUGCUCGCUUCGGCAGCACAUAUACUAAAAUUGGAACGAUACAGAGAAGAUUAGCAUGGCCCCUGCGCAAGGAUGACACGCAAAUUCGUGAAGCGUUCCAUAUUUUUACAUCAGGUUGUUUUUCUGUUUUUACAUCAGGUUGUUUUUCUGUUUGGUUUUUUUUUUACACCACGUUUAUACGCCGGUGCACGGUUUACCACUGAAAACACCUUUCAUCUACAGGUGAUAUCUUUUAACACAAAUAAAAUGUAGUAGUCCUAGGAGACGGAAUAGAAGGAGGUGGGGCCUAGGCAGAUUCAUCUCUGCGGUGCAUUUUGCCUCUGGCCCUCGGGCCCUAGUUUGCGAUCUUUCCCAUCUUGCCUCUGCUUCCCUCUGCACAAUCCUGAGUAUUGCAGUACCUUACACUUAAGGAAAUUUCGUCUUGCCAAAGUUGAUCCAUUUCAGCUCCGAAACAUAACAGGAACUAGUGCAACGAUAAACGUAUGAGGAACUUGCAAUAAGAGUGACAGAAUCCUUUGAAUCAAAAAAAAAAAAAAAGCCACCACUUAAUGAGUAUCUACCAUAUGUCAAGGGCUUCACCAAUAUUUCAUUGAAAUAUUCCAGACCAAAUAAAUAAAUAAUAAAAGAAAAAAAGAAAAGGGGGAGGGGGCAGAAAAAUAAAAUAAUGUUUAAAAAAUUCCUGACAGCCCCACCCUGUGGGUUUUACUGUUUUACUGUCAUCAUUUUACACCAAUCACUGAGAGGUAAAGCCUGAUAAGACUUACAGAGGCACAGACCCUGAAAAGAUCGGGACCCAGGUCUCAGGUAAUUGAGUUACAAAAACACAGUCCCGAGUGGUAAGACAAAGAGGAAACAAAGUCCAACCACGUUCAGAUUUCCUGCGAUGACUUAGGCAAUGUUUUCUGAAAUAUCUUUCCAACAGAAAAAUGGUGCAACUGCUUUGCUAGUGCUUCAGCAUGCACGUGGGCCCUGCGGCCACUGGGACCUCAGUCGAUCUGCCGGGAGCGGCCGCACAGCUCCCAGCCUCCAGGCGCGCCGCAGGAGGACUGUUAGGCUCGAAGCCCCGGAGCCACCCAGGGACAGCGGCGGGUACUCUACCAGCGGGCGCUGGGAGCUGCCGGGCAGCAUUCCAUUCAGGACUCAUUCCUUUUCUCUUCAGUGGAAGUGAAAUGAUCCUUUCCAGCCGUCGGAACAUCCUGGGACUCCAAGGCUCCGACCCCCAGCGCAAAGGACUCUAGGGACUGGCUUCCUGGCUGUACCGCGCAGCGGGACUCCUCGUCUGCACAGCUUCGGGGAGGCCCAGAGCACGCCCCUACUAGCCGGCUCCGUCCAAGGCCCACCAAGACAACCCGCCACGAAACUUCCCGGCCCCCUCAGCCCAGGGCUCCCGGUCCCGAGCUGCUGGCCGGUGGCGCGGGGCCUGCCGCCCGCCUUCUACGAGCCGCAUGGACGGAGGCCUGCGUGUUAUUUCAUAGAGGCCGAAACGGAGACCCAGGAAAGAUAAAAGAAGGGCUCAACCCGGGACCCCCACUAGCCAGCCGAGGGCGAGAAAUGAAAGCCAAGGCUGAAUGAUUCCCUGUGCCGUGAGCUCUCUCCCACUCCAUCCACACUCUCCUCCCUGCAAAGAGUGUUCUGCAAUUUGCAGCGUCGUCUGUAGCCCAAGCAGGAGGUGCGCUGUGGAAACUGAGGCCGCUGGGAGGCCUUGCCAACCGUGACCCGGACGUCGGACGCCCCAGCCGAGGCCCGGCGAGUCCUUAGCCCCUCUCGAACUAAAAUGGACCGAACAGAAAAUGCGGACGGGGCUCCCUCCUUUCGGGUAGCGGCGGGGCAGACGGGAGGCCGUCUGUGACCGAGCUCUCCAAGUCCCGCCUUCCUUUCCAAGCCUGCCCGGCGGAGACCACCUUACUCCCUGAGACCUCCGCCCUGCCGCAGCGCUCCCAGGCCAGGCCAGGCCGGCGGUGCCCGCGCCAUCUAAAGGGACAAUUCUGGUUGAACCUGGGAUUCCCGGCAGGGCGCCCUGUCUGUGAGCGCCCCGGAGGUAACUUCCCCGGUGUGGCAGGCGUGGAAAUGGGCAUGGAUGAACCCUCGGCGCCUUCGAGCUCUUGAGGAAAGAGCCCGGGACCGCUGCGCUAAGGACCGUGACGUAAUGCCCCUCCUCCAUUCCGGGCCCAAGGGAGGGUCCUAAACGCGGAGAGGGAGUGCCCUGUGGGGGAAAACUGAGUGUGUCUGGAGGGCACAGUGGAGAGGUUGAGUGCUCGCUGCUGCCCACUUGAGCAGGCCCGAUUCUGACCCUGGGAGCCCCAGAACCCGCGGGGCGGCUCCCACCCCCACCUGUUGCACGGUGUUCCGCCGCCCCGCUCCGCCGGUGCACUCCCACCUCCGUAGCCCCAGAAGUGACAUCUUUUAUUAUUAUUAUUAUUAUUAUUAAAAACGAAAGUCACGGGUACAGGGUGGUCUCCCCAAACAGGCUCCAGGUGGUUGCCAUCUCGUGAGUCAGUUGUCGCCCUUUUAAAGUGCUGUUACAUCAAGAGGUUACAACAAAAAAUAGCCAAAGCAAAAUCCAAAGGGGAAUGCAAAACGGGACUGGAAGUGGGUCCAGGAGAAGGAAGCAAAAAUAACUUACAGCAUAAAUAAAUUAAAGUGAACCUAAUACUG
rnacentral:lncRNA from 10 species